GGGCCCGCACAAGCGGUGGAGUAUGUGGUUUAAUUCGAUGAUACGCGAGGAACCUUACCAGGGCUUAAAUGUAGUGGGACAGGUCUAGAGAUAGACCUUUCUUCGGACUCAUUACAAGGUGCUGCAUGGUUGUCGUCAGCUCGUGCCGUGAGGUGUCAGGUUAAGUCCUAUAACGAGCGCAACCCCUAUCGUUAGUUGCCAGCGGGUCAUGCCGGGAACUCUAGCGAAACUGCCGGUGCAAACCGAGAGGAAGGUGGGGAUGACGUCAAAUCAUCACGGCCCUUACGUCCUGGGCCACACACGUGCUACAAUGGCCGGUACAGAGAGCAGCCACUACGCGAGUAGGAGCGAAUCUACAAAACCGGUCUCAGUUCAGAUCGUAGGCUGCAACUCGCCUACGUGAAGGAGGAAUCGCUAGUAAUCGCAGGUC
rnacentral:rRNA from 1 species